rnacentral:rRNA from 1 species
AACGAACGCUGGCGGCAUGCCUAACACAUGCAAGUCGAACGAGACCUUCGGGUCUAGUGGCGCACGGGUGCGUAACGCGUGGGAACCUGCCCUUAGGUUCGGAAUAACUCCCCGAAAGGGGUGCUAAUACCGGAUAAUGUCUUCGGACCAAAGAUUUAUCGCCUUUGGAUGGGCCCGCGUUGGAUUAGCUAGUUGGUAGGGUAAAAGCCUACCAAGGCGACGAUCCAUAGCUGGUCUGAGAGGAUGAUCAGCCACACUGGGACUGAGACACGGCCCAGACUCCUACGGGAGGCAGCAGGGGGGAAUAUUGGACAAUGGGCGAAAGCCUGAUCCAGCAAUGCCGCGUGAGUGAUGAAGGCCUUAGGGUUGUAAAGCUCUUUUACCCGGGAUGAUAAUGACAGUACCGGGAGAAUAGCUCCGGCUAACUCCGUG